AACGAACGCUGGCGGCAGGCCUAACACAUGCAAGUCGAACGCCCUAGCAAUAGGGAGUGGCGCACGGGUGCGUAACGCGUGGGAAUAUGCCCUUCACUGCGGAAUAACGUUUGGAAACGAACGCUAAUACCGCAUAAUGACUCCGGUCCAAAGAUUUAUCGGUGAAGGAUUAGCCCGCGUUAGAUUAGCUAGUUGGUGAGGUAAUGGCUCACCAAGGCGACGAUCUAUAGCUGGUCUGAGAGGAUGAUCAGCCACACUGGGACUGAGACACGGCCCAGACUCCUACGGGAGGCAGCAGUGAGGAAUAUUGGACAAUGGGCGCAAGCCUGAUCCAGCCAUGCCGCGUGAGUGAAGAAGGCCUUCGGGUUGUAAGCUCUUUCUAGAUGUGAAGAUAAUGACGGUAGCAUCAGAGAAGACCCGGCGUAAAUUACGUGCCAGCAGCCGCGGUAA
rnacentral:rRNA from 1 species